CAAAGAGUAAUUUAACAGUAGAAUGUUGGCCCUGGGAGCCGGUAGUAGGGGUUGAAGUCCCCUCUCUUUGA
rnacentral:tRNA from 1 species